UACAGAGGUCCCGAGCGUUGUUCGGAUUCACUGGGCGUAAAGGGUGCGUAGGUGGCGAGGUAAGUCGGAUGUGAAAGCUCGGAGCUCAACUCCGAAAUGGCAUUGGAAACUACCUUGCUCGAGGGUUGGAGGGGGACUGGAAUGCUUGGUGUAGCAGUGAAAUGCGUAGAUAUCAAGCGGAACACCAGUGGCGAAGGCGAAGUCCCUGGACAACUCCUGACACUGAGGCACGAAAGCCUAGGGGAGCAA
rnacentral:rRNA from 1 species